rnacentral:rRNA from 1 species
ACGAACGCUGGCGGCGUGCCUAAUCCAUGCAAGUAGAACGCUGAAGGCGGAGCUUGCUUCUCUGGCUGAGUUGCGAACGGGUGAGUAACGCGUAGGUAACCUGCCUGGUAGCGGGGGGUUACUAUUUGAAACGAUAGCUAAUACCGCAUAAGAGUAGCUGUUGCCUGACAUUUACUUAAAAGGUGCAAUUGCAUCACUACCAGAUGGACCUGCGUUGUAUUGGCUAGUUGGUGAGGUAACGGCUCACCAAGGACACGAUACAUAGCCGACCUGGGAGGGUGAUCGGCCACACUGGGACGGAGACACGGCCCAGACGCCUACGGGAGGCAGCAGGAGGGAAUCUUCAGCAAUGGACGGAAGUCUGACCGAGCAACGCCGCGUGAGUGAAGAAGGGUGUCGGAUCGUAAAGCUCUGUUGUAAGAGAAGAACGAGUUUGAGAGUGGAAAGUUCACACUGUGACGGUAGCUUACCAGAAAGGGACGGCUAACUACGUG